GACGAACCGUGCGAACGUUGUUCGGACUCAUUGGGCUUAAAGGGCGCGUAGGCGGGCUAGCAAGUCAGGGGUGAAAGCCCACGGCUCAACCGUGGAAGUGCCUUUGAUACUGCCAGCCUGGAGGGAGGUAGGGGCGUGCGGAACUUCCGGUGGAGCGGUGAAAUGCGUAGAUAUCGGAAGGAACACCGGUGGCGAAAGCGGCGCGCUGGACCUCUUCUGACGCUGAGGCGCGAAAGCCAGGGGAGCGAACGGG
rnacentral:rRNA from 1 species